rnacentral:rRNA from 1 species
GACAGAGGGGGCAAGCGUUGCUCGGAAUUACUGGGCGUAAAGGGCGCGUAGGCGGCCCGCACAAGUCUGCGGUGAAAACCCCCGGCUUAACCGGGGGCCGGCCGUGGAAACUGUCGGGCUAGAGGCCGGGAGAGGGCAGCGGAAUUCCCGGUGUAGCGGUGAAAUGCGUAGAGAUCGGGAGGAACACCGGCGGCGAAGGCGGCUGCCUGGACCGGCCCUGACGCUGAGGCGCGAAAGCUAGGGGAGCAAACAGG